rnacentral:rRNA from 1 species
UACAGAGGUGGCAAGCGUUGUUCGGAAUCACUGGGCGUAAAGCGCACGUAGGCGGCUUUCUAAGUCAGGGGUGAAGUCCCGGAGCUCAACUCCGGAACUGCCUUUGAUACUGGAGAGCUUGAGUUCGGGAGAGGUGAGUGGAACUGCGAGUGUAGAGGUGAAAUUCGUAGAUAUUCGCAAGAACACCAGUGGCGAAGGCGGCUCACUGGUCCGGUUCUGACGCUGAGGCGCGAAAGCGUGGGGAGCAAACAGG